rnacentral:rRNA from 1 species
GUAGGGGGCAAGCGUUGUCCGGAUUUAUUGGGCGUAAAGAGCGUGUAGGCGGUUCGGUAGGUCCGUUGUGAAAACUCGAGGCUCAACCUCGAGACGCCGAUGGAAACCAUCGAACUAGAGUCCGGAAGAGGAGAGUGGAAUUCCUGGUGUAGCGGUGAAAUGCGCAGAUAUCAGGAAGAACACCCGUGGCUAAGGCGGCUCUCUAGUACGGUACUGACGCUGAGACGCGAAAGCGUGGGGAGCGAACAGGAUUAGAUACCCUGGUAGUCCACGCCGUAAACGAUGGGUGCUAGGUGUAGGGGGUGUCGACUCCCUCUGUGCCGAAGCUAACGCAUUAAGCACCCCGCCUGGGGAGUACGGCCGCAAGGCUA